rnacentral:rRNA from 1 species
UACGGAGGGUGCAAGCGUUAUCCGGAUUCACUGGGUUUAAAGGGUGCGUAGGUGGGUUGGUAAGUCAGUGGUGAAAUCUCCGAGCUUAACUUGGAAACUGCCAUUGAUACUAUCAGUCUUGAAUAUUGUGGAGGUUAGCGGAAUAUGUCAUGUAGCGGUGAAAUGCUUAGAUAUGACAUAGAACACCAAUUGCGAAGGCAGCUGGCUACGCAUAUAUUGACACUGAGGCACGAAAGCGUGUGGAUCAAACAGG